rnacentral:rRNA from 1 species
AAACUUUCAACAACGGAUCUCUUGGUUCUCGCAUCGAUGAAGAACGCAGCGAAACGCGAUAGUUAAUGUGAAUUGCAGAAUUCAGUGAAUCAUCGAGUCUUUGAACGCACAUUGCGCCCAUUGGUAUUCCAUUGGGCAUGUCUGUUUGAGCGUCAUUA